CUUUGGGCGUUCAUCGCUUUGAGAAGAGAGAGAGAGAGAAAGAGAGUUGAAGCGAUUGCAUCGAUGGCGGAAGGCGGCGAUGAUCCCCAGCGACUGAAGAAGGGAAGCCAGAGCUUCAGGCAGAUGCUACUUCUCUCGACCCUUUCUUCGACGCCUAUCAUCAUGGAUGAGAUUCAUGACGACGACAUGAUUGCUGGCCUCCAACGUCACGAGAUGUCUCUCUUCCGCCUCAUCUCCGAUGAUUGCAUCGUUUAGGUUAACGAUACCGGGACACGAUUGAAGUACAAGCCUGGAAUUAUAAUGGGAGGGAAGAACUUGGUUCACAAUUGUGCCCUGACUCGAUCCAUUGAGAGCAAGGGAACCGUUUGAGUUCUUCUGCUUGUGGAAGUGCUGGGACCUAUGCUUAAUCCUGCAAGCGUCUCUUAUGCCAUCGUCAGUGUAUACCACAAAAAUAUGGUUAUUAAGAUGGCAAAGGCACUGCAACGGUGAACAUGGCGUAGAUAUCAUAUUAAUUGUUUUCUAACAGGGUCGCCAUGCGUUGAUUGAUCUGGCCAUGUCUCCACUGAGCAAGCUUGGUCUUGUUCAAGCUCAGGAUUGGUCUUGUUCAAGCCGUUAUUGUUGCUGGUACUAGGAGCUUUUGCCAUUAUUGGUUUGUGUUUGAAAUGUUUUGCUUCUCAAUGUUUCAUUUUUUUAAGAAUCUCUGAAUAAUAAGAGACUUACAUUGGAGGAUAUAAA